GAUGGUGGGUGAUCCUCCGGCAGCAGCAGUGGAGACAAAGUCCAAGGACGUCAGCGAUGAAUCAUUAAAAAAAGCAGAAUGCUGUUAUAAAUGUGUCCGUGGUUGCUUUGAAGUCUUACAUAAAUGCCUUUCAUCGUGACACUAAAUUUAGCAUGAGCAUGAGACUUCUGAUGAGACUGAAGUCGUUGACCGAACCAGAAAAACAUCACGUAAUGGAAGAUCCAUUGAUAUAUGUUUUAUAAAUAUUUAAUCCGUAUGUAAGGAUUCCCACGUUGCAUUUUUUUUUAAGUUGAUUUUGCUUCUUUGUUUGAAAGGGAACCAUGAUCCCCAUUUGCUUUGUGUAUUUUGUUUCUAUCUAAAUCAAAGAAUAAAAGAAAAGUAAAAAACCUAGUCAUAACUCG